CCCCCCCUUUCCUAUCAUUCUCCCUUCCUCCCUCCCCUCCUCCCCUCCUCCCCCAGGGCAGGCGGCCGGCGUGGGAAAUGGGCCCGACGUGCGCUGCAUGGUGUAUGGCCGCGCUGCUCCCGGCCCACGUGCCCCGGCUGCCGGGGGGGGACGGGGCUGUGCCGGCCGUGUGUCCCCCGCUCCCCCCCGCAUCCCACUCGUUCGAGACGGCAGAGAGUAGAAUUACCCCCGCAGCCUCUCUCGGCCUCGCCGGCACCGCAGAGUGCCGGUCCCGCGGCCCGCGCACCCCCAGCUUCCCGGGAGUCGGUCGGAACGAGCCCGGCUGCUCCAGGCGGGGGAGGUUUGUGGUUCGUCCCUCUGGGCAAAUCUGUUGCGCAGUGUGACUCCCCCCUCCCGGCUGCCCCCCUCUCCGAUGCACACAGACGCCCACACGCGCUCAGACCCGACACGGCAUUUGUCCUCCUGAUCUGGAGAUCAUAGAAGAUCUGGCAUGUCUUCAUGAUUGUACUGUGUCAGCUGCCUGUUGAGCAGAAGAUAAAAUACUCAAGCAAGAUGGUAACUCUGAGAAGCUCUGAAGAACCUUUGAUGUUAUAAUUCAAGCACUGUUAUCCAUAACUGAAUGCUGUGCAGCUCUAUUCCUUUCUAACAGUGUGGCCAGCAGACCAGGGAAGUGGUUGCCCCCCUGUACUUGUCAUUGGUGAAGCCAGAGCUCAGUUCACAAUUUUCCAGCAUGCUUCUCAUGGUGAAAGAAACUCAUUUCAAAGGAAGGAAGAAAGGAAGAAGAAAUGUCUCUUUCAAGCAUUGCUGGAAGGAGUGGCUUAAUGUUCUAAAGAUAAUGGAAACAUCUGAAUUUGCUGAGCCAAUGAUUUAAAUUAAGUAGACCCUGGAUAUUAAAUACAGACCCUGAUUUUUUGAAGAAAUUAAUUCCAUGAAUAAACUGUGUAUUCAGACUGCAGUCUGCAUCCUUCAGCUUCCUAUGUUAUGAAUAGGAAAACAAGUUAGAAAAUGAAAAACUCAUCAUGUACUCAAUAGGGUUUUCUUAUGAUAGUGUUAGUAUUUGGAAGAUAGUAGCUCCCUUUGUAAAUAGUAGCUUCCUUUGUAAAUCACUUUGAGUUUUGUUUUAAUAAAAUGUUACACAAUAUUAUAUGUAUGACACUGACAAUGUGAAGUUUUUAUGUUCUGAAUGGAGAAAAAUUAAACAAUCCACCAACAAGUGCAUCUGCACUGGGAGCAUGUUCUGGAUGAAUCCUGAACUUCUACACAUUUAAAUUUGCAUAUUAGUUUUGAGGUACUACCAUUGUUUGUGCACAGCAUGGAGCAGGCCAGAAUGCAGCAAGCCCUCUGUCUUCUUCUGUGAGCCUUCUUCUGGAGCCCUGUGCUCCAGGCACAGGAGUGGAUAUUCUAACCAUGAAUGUGUUCAGUGCAAUAGAACAGCUAGCAAGAGGGUUACUGUUCUGGAGGAAGCACCUCCCUAAUGGUAGCUGUGUUGUUUCUGGUGUGGCUGGGGAUCUGUAUUGCUGUGAACGUCCAUCCCCAAAGGUCUUAGGGUGCUUGAGGAAGGCCAAGACCCUGUUUAUUCCACAAGUGGUAAUUUUAUAAAAUUGUACCAAAUGUGUGUGCUGCAUGGCUGGCAGUAUGAUGUGAGAGCUGUUGAGCAGCAAAGGUCUGGCCUUGCAGUGGAAGGCUCUGUGUGUGCCAUGCAGGUGUGUGUGUGACCGUGGUGGUGCAGAUGUGCAGACAGACCUGUUGCAGUCUUAUUCAUACUGCCUAUAGGUUUACUUUGGAGUAAAUUAUGCCCACCUGAAGGUUCCCUGAGAGAAAAUUAGCUGUGACAGUUCAAAAGAGAGCCCAGGAGCAAACUGACACACAAGCAGUGUGAACUGUCAAUGAACUGCAGGGUGAAGUGAAAUGGAGUGCUAAGUUGUUUGACAGCAUGCAAAGGUGACUUAGAUCAAUGCAGCUUGUCAACUGUAUCUGUAUGGCAGUGAUGUCCUGAGGAGACAUACCCUGAAACACCAUCCUCAUAUUUUGUAUUAACUCUGCAAAGAUUCCUGCACAAAGACAUGCAUACCCUAGCUAGUUAUUUUUUUGUGUGCCUUCUCAUUUCUGAAGAUAUUUUGGUGUCAAUGUCUCUCAUGUCUCAUGUAUUUACUCAGCUUUUUAUGCUCAAAAAUACUUUGCUUUUCAAUUUUCAAUGCAACUCUGAUAUAACACAGAAAAAUUAAAUGACAAUUUAAUUCUAUUGUGAUUUAUUAUUUCCAGAAAGCGGCCUUAUUUUCAAAAAUCACAUUUUCUGUGUAAAAUAAAUUUCAAAGCAACUAUUUCCAUUAUCCUUACUGUAUUUUUAGCUUCCCAGUUAAUUUUUUUUCACAGUUUUCAUCCUCAAAUCCUACUUUUGUCUAGCUUUAACCAGAUAUUAGAAAAUUGUAUUUCUCUCUUUGCCUUCCCCUUAUCCAAAAUUCUGUAAGAAAUUUUGUUUCAGUAAAAGUACAUUCAAUAAGAGUGGUUCAUCUUGUAUUAUAUAAUUCAUAGUUUCUUUUUAAACAGAAAUAUUUUGUAGAGAUUAGACUGAACAAAAUAAACUAACUUUUAGGAACAUUCAACUGUAAACCAUAAACCUUUCUUUUUAAAUUCUUGAGCCGUAAGAAAUUGAAUGCCUGUAACAAAUUUGAAGUAUAUCUGUGUUUUGGAAAGUCCUGUUAUUUGAAACUGUACUUUCUUAAAAUACUGUCAAAAGAAUAUGGCUAGCAGUAGAAUAUGAAUUUUCAAACAUUGGAAUAAGUAUUCAUGGUCAGAUUCAUAUUGGGCAAUCAAAGUGAACUUUAAAGCUGAAAUUAAACUCCUACAUUCAAAAGAACACUUCAGAAUGUCUCUAUUAGCACUAGUUCAUAAUGGAAAAAUUCUUCUUUUGGAUUAUCAAAUCUCUGUUACACUGUCUAAGAGAGAGAAAGAGGGCUCUGGCCAGGAGAACAGGAAAAAACCUGGAGGCAGGAAAAAACCCCUACUGCUGAACUUCCAUACCACCCUCUUUUCAAAUUUGUUUUUUAGUUCAGUGUAUCUCUGGUAUGAAAUGAUCUCAAAAUUCACACAUAUGCAAAAUGUUUUGUCUGCUAUGCUGCAGAAAUUUCAUGCUCUUGUUUAGGUCAGGAAAUACCUGCGUAGGUGGCUGAAUAGCCUUUGUAGGAAGUACAGGUCUGAGAUGUAGGUUUUAUUAUCUCUUGGUUAGUUGAACCCUUUUCUAGAGUUCUGUGUAAUUUGCUGUGCCAAACAGGACAACUAUCCACUGUUUCAAAAGGAAAAUUUUGUUCUGCUCACUAGGCUGUCUCAAGAGAUAAGAAUGCUCUGAUUGAACAAAACACCCAACAUCUCAAAAAAAGGCUGCAAGCUCAAACUCAGUUGUACUAAGUGUUUUUUUUUGUUAGAUAGCUUUAGAGAGACUUUUUUUUGUGCAGCCUGUGUUUGACUUUUUAUUUUAAAGGGGUGUUAGAUAUUUUUAAAAAUUGUGAUGUAGCAGUCAUUUCCUUUUAUGUACUGGGACUCCUAAAACUCAUACUCAUGGUUGAAUAUGAUUUUGCAAUACAUUCUAUUUUUGGUGAUUUUAUGUAAAGAACUGCAGUUAAGAAUGGAAUUAUAACACCCUUCUACUGGAACAUGGAAACACAGCCAUCUGGCAUGUAUGGGUUUCAUCAUUUUGCCAAUUUUUUUCCUACAGCUUAUUUUAGUAUUUGGGAGAACCUUCUUUUACUUGGUGCUUUUGUCAGAGGGAAAAAUGUGCAGAAAGGCAUACAGUCUAUAUCUGUAAGAUCUGUGAGUUCUUUUCACAAUAUAAACUGUGCUGAAUGAUUUGGUAAAGAGUCAAAAUUUUCUAUGCUAACAGAUUAUUACAUAAAUAUGAAAUUUUUUAUGGAACUGCUGAAUUUUUUGUCACCUGCAUGAUUUAAUAAAUUUCUCAACACGUGUUUUUCCACUGGAUUUUUAAAAUGAAAAAAACCUUGUUGUCUCUCAGUGUAUUUAUUCAGUUUCUGUACUACCAAGUUUUUAAAGGAAAUACAAACAGGAAGCAAUUCAGGAGUCAAGAAGAAUCCUACUAUAUUGCACUUGGAUUUGUACAGAUAGUUAAGAGUUAUUCUUUCUUCUCCUCCAAGAGUGGUGCUACUUCUUUUUUUUUUUUUUCCUUCCUUUUUAUAUGGAGUGAAAAUUUAAAAAGCAGUUUAUGGUUCUCUUUCAUAAAAAAAAAAAA